CAAUAGCGUAUAUUAAAGUUGUUGCAGUUAAAAAGCUCGUAGUUGGAUUUCUGGUUGAAGCGACCGGUCGGGCGUUGAUUCGUCUGCACUGGAGUCGGUUUUGGCCAUCCUCUAGGAAAGUGCGUCUGGUAUUAAGUUAUCGGGCGUAUGAUCCUGGUCUUUUACUGUGAAAAAAUUAGAUUGUUUAAAGCAGGCCUUCGCCUUGAAUACAUUAGCAUGGAAUAAUAAGAUAGGACUUUGGUCUAUUUUGUUGGUUUGCAGACCGAAGUAAUGAUUAAUAGGGAUAGUUGGGGGUAUUUAUAUUCCGAUGUCAGAGGUGAAAUUCUUAGAUUUUCGGAAGAUAAACUUAUGCGAAAGCAUUUACCAAGGAUGUUUNCAUUA
rnacentral:rRNA from 1 species